rnacentral:rRNA from 1 species
GACGAACGCUGGCGGCGUGCUUAACACAUGCAAGUCGAACGGAAAGGCCCUGCUUUUGUGGGGUGCUCGAGUGGCGAACGGGUGAGUAACACGUGAGUAACCUGCCCUUGACUUUGGGAUAACUUCAGGAAACUGGGGCUAAUACCGGGUAGGAGCUCCUGCUGCAUGGUGGGGGUUGGAACGUUUCGGCGGUUGGGGAUGGACUCGCGGCUUAUCAGCUUGUUGGUGGGGUAGUGGCUUACCAAGGCUUUGACGGGUAGCCGGCCUGAGAGGGUGACCGGCCACAUUGGGACUGAGAUACGGCCCAGACUCCUACGGGAGGCAGCAGUGGGGAAUAUUGCACAAUGGGCGGAAGCCUGAUGCAGCAACGCCGCGUGCGGGAUGACGGCCUUCGGGUUGUAAACCGCUUUCGCCUGUGACGAAGCGUGAGUGACGGUAAUGGGUAAAGAAGCACCGGCUAACUACGUG